rnacentral:rRNA from 1 species
UAUCUCUGUAGAGUCUGCAUAUCAAUAAGCGGAGGAAAAGAAACUAACUAAGGAUUCCCUCAGUAACGGCGAGUGAAGCGGGAAGAGCUCAAAUUUGAAAUCUUCAAGGUUCUAGCCUCGACGAAUUGUAGUUUAAAGAAGUGUUUUCUGUUGGAGUUUUGGUAAAAGUUCUUUGGAAUAGGACAUCAUAGAGGGUGAGAAUCCCGUAUUUGACCAUUACUUCCAGCGUUGUGAUACACUUUCAAAGAGUCGGAUUGUUUGGGAAUGCAGUCCAAAAUGGGUGGUAAAUUUCAUCUAAAGCUAAAUAUUGGCGAGAGACCGAUAGCGAACAAGUACCGUGAGGGAAAGAUGAAAAGAACUUUGAAAAGAGAGUUAAACAGUACGUGAAAUUGUCAAAAGGGAAGCGUUUGACACCAGUGUUGUUUUCUCGAAAAUCAAUUAAAAAAUGGCUUGAUUUUGUAUUGUUAAGACCUUAUCAGCUUACCGUACUCUUUUCUUGCUUUUUUUAAUGCACUUUUCGUUUAACAAGUCAACAUCAAUUUCUUUUGUUGUAAAAGAGUCAUUGGAAGGUGGCUUUCACUUCGGUGAAAGUGUUUAUAGCCUUUGGCUUCUGCAAUCGGAGAGACUGAGGUCUGCAGCGUAGAUCCUUCUGGAUUAGAUUCAUUUGUGCUAAGUUACAACCGUUUAUAGACAACUUGUUGACUAUAUUCGAUCCUGUUAGCUUACUCGCUUAUGUAAUUUUACCUACGCUUAGGAUGUUGAAGAUGUAGCACAUCAU